rnacentral:rRNA from 1 species
AUUGAACGCUGGCGGAAUGCUUUACACAUGCAAGUCGAACGGCAGCAUAGGUGCUUGCACCUGAUGGCGAGUGGCGAACGGGUGAGUAAUACAUCGGAACGUGCCCAGUCGUGGGGGAUAACGUAGCGAAAGUUACGCUAAUACCGCAUACGAUCUACGGAUGAAAGCGGGGGACCGUAAGGCCUCGCGCGAUUGGAGCGGCCGAUGUUAGAUUAGGUAGUUGGUGGGGUAAAGGCUCACCAAGCCGACGAUCUAUAGCUGGUCUGAGAGGAUGAUCAGCCACACUGGGACUGAGACACGGCCCAGACUCCUACGGGAGGCAGCAGUGGGGAAUUUUGGACAAUGGGCGCAAGCCUGAUCCAGCCAUUCCGCGUGCAGGACGAAGGCCUUCGGGUUGUAAACUGCUUUUGUACAGAACGAAAAGGUUUCUAUUAAUACUAGGGGCUCAUGACGGUACUGUAAGAAUAAGCACCGGCUAACUACGUG